AAUCAGACAUCGUUCGACGGCGGUUUGGUUGGUUGGGUGACACUUGAAAAGUGAUGACUGUGCGAGUCCUCUCGUUCUCUUAUAUACCCAAUUUCUACCACCCUGCGGGGACACAUCCCGCCUCUCCCUUACUGCACCGAAUA
ensembl:ncRNA M163.19 ncRNA